rnacentral:rRNA from 1 species
AUUGAACGCUGGCGGCAGGCCUAACACAUGCAAGUCGAACGAGUGGCGGACGGGUGAGUAAUGUCUGGGAUACUGCCCGCUGGGGGGGGAUAACUACUGGCAACGGCAGCUAAUACCGCCUCCAAUCUGAUGUGCCCAGAUGGGAUUUGCUUGUUGGUGUGGUAACGUCUCACCAAGGCGGCGCUGCCUAGCUGGUCUGAGAGGAUGACCAGCAACACGGGAGAUGGGACACGGUCCAAACUCCGACGUGAGGCAUCGGUGGGGAAUAUUGGGCAAGGGGGGCUAGCCUAAUGCGGCCAUGCCGCGUGUAUGAAGAAGGCCUUCGGGUUGUAAAGUACUUUCAGCGGGGAGGCGGUACCCGCAGUAGAAGCACCGGCUAACUCCGUGCCAGCAGCCGCGGUAAUUC